GCUUCGCCUUCGAAUUUUGGUUUGCAUGGGUGAUGCAUGCAAUUAAAAGGGAAUCCGGUGAAAAUCCGGAGCUGUUCCCGCAACUGUAAAGAUAUACUGAGCAUUUUUCAGUAUCCCGUUUUCAAAGCGGGUUGCUCUUUCUUCAAACCACUGCCCGUAUCAUGAAGCUUUCAUGGGGUGGGAAGGUAAAGCGCAAAUCACAAGCCAGGAGACCUGCCAGGUUCAAACAAUAAAU
rnacentral:ncRNA from 2 species